ACUCAAAGGAAUUGACGGGGGCCCGCACAAGCGGCGGAGCAUGCGGAUUAAUUCGAUGCAACGCGAAGAACCUUACCAAGGCUUGACAUAUACCGGUAACCUGCAGAAAUGUGGGCCCCGCAAGGUCGGUAUACAGGUGGUGCAUGGUUGUCGUCAGCUCGUGUCGUGAGAUGUUGGGUUAAGUCCCGCAACGAGCGCAACCCUCGUUCUAUGUUGCCAGCACGUUAUGGUGGGAACUCAUAGGAGACUGCCGGGGUCAACUCGGAGGAAGGUGGGGAUGACGUCAAAUCAUCAUGCCCCUUAUGUCUUGGGCUUCACGCAUGCUACAAUGGCCGGUACAAAGGGCUGCAAUACCGUAAGGUGGAGCGAAUCCCAAAAAGCCGGUCUCAGUUCGGAUUGAGGUCUGCAACUCGACCUCAUGAAGUCGGAGUCGCUAGUAAUCGCAGAUCAGCAACGCUGCGGUGAAUACGUUCCCGGGCCUUGUACACACCGCCCGU
rnacentral:rRNA from 1 species